GAGAUUCCUCGAGUAACGGCGAGCGAAAGGGGAGAAGCUCAGCGUGUAGCCUCGCGGGUGCCCUCCAACGUGAGUGUGUUAAUCCGUCGACGGGAUGCCACGUAUGGGAGAAAGCUAGAAGAGUCCGAGACCCGGCAAUCCGAACUGUAAGAUGAAACAUUGCCCAAAGAGGGUGUUAGGCCCGUAGGACCGAGUGUCUGGACUUUUCGCGGUUUUCUCUCGAGAGUCGGGUUGUUUGAGAAUACAGCCUUAAGAGGUGGGAAACUCCAUCUAAAGCUAAAUAUUACUGCGAGACCGAUAGCGAACAAGUACCGUGAGGGAAAGUUGAAAAGGACUCUGAAGAGAGGGUUCAAGAGAGCGUGAAACUGCCACGGGGAUAAAGCGGAUACAUUAGCGUAGUCGAAAAGGGAGAUACAGCUCGUUCGUAGUCGACCUCUCGGACUCAGCGACGUUCAUAGGGAAUUAUCCCGUUGCAAGGCGUGCUCACGCGCGUCUUUUUCGGUUCUUGGUUCCUCUUGGCGUGGCCCGAGUGAGCGUACGUUCGCGAACGAAACUAAUUCACACCUUAGUAGGCCGUCGCGACGGUUGGAGAUGUUGUCUAAGGCUCGAAAGGUCACGGGAACCCUUCGUCGGACGGGACAUUCAGUGCAGUGAUCGCGCGAGUGGUCAUUGUCGUCGUCGUCUCGACGAGGGGGGACGCUUUCUUGAAUUUACUGGCGGACUUUCCGACCGGAGAAAAAGACGUUGGGACGCGCGCGCGCGAGAUUUAUUUCGCGCGUUUCGCGUGUGAACGUAAGUGCGGCGCUCAUAGCGACCAGUUUAUCCGUCCCGUCUUGAAACACGGACCAAGGAGUCUAACAUGUACGCGAGUCAAAGGGCCUACUAAACCCCUAGGCGUAAUGAAAGUAAAAUAACGCGGAUUGAUCCGAAGAGCGUCGGUGACGGCAUUCGUUUCGGCGGAUGCAGCGUGCCGAAGCAGCAGGCGCAAAUCCGGGACCCGUCUUACUGCUUCCGAAAUUUUCGGAAGUUCACGUGGCGGGUACCUCGAGCGUACAUGUUGGUACCCGAAAGAUGGUGAUCUAUGCUUGGCCGGGAUGAAGCCAGAGGAAACUC
rnacentral:rRNA from 1 species